ACAUGUAUCUCACAAUCAGGUUGGAAUACCCGCUGAACUUAAACAAUCAAUAAGCGGAGGAAGAGAAAACAAAAGUGGAUACCCUUAGUAAUGGCGAACGACAGAGGUGAAAGACAACGCAAAGGCUUAUGAUCCUUUCUAGAUUGAAUAAGCGAUUGUGCGUGAGUGUGUGAGUUGGUUGCUUGAGUUUAAAGCGGUGCGAUAGGCUUGUAUUCAAACGAACGAUCUAAUAGUUGACCAUAGAGGUUAAAGUCCCGUAUGAAUCUUAUAAGUCCAGUAUAUUGCUAGUCGAAGGCACUAACUGAGAGAGGUUGCUUGAGAGUGCAGCUUGAAGUAGGAGGUAUGCAUCUCUAGGCUAAAUAUCACGCCGAGACCGAUUAGCAACAAGUAGCCCGUGAGCGAAAAAGUUUUGAAAAGAACUUUGAAGAGAGAGUUCAAAGAGCGUGAUGAAACCAUAGUAGGGGGAAGCGGGAGAGAAGAUUAGCAGAAGUGGGUUGCAUUUGUGUAGUGUAUAAGGUUUGGCACGCUUUUCGUUAGGCUAGUUUGGUUUACUAAAGAAACUUUUAUAGGAAAGUUCUAGAGUCGGCCGUAAUGCUACAAAGGCACAAAUGUUUGCCAGUAUCAUGUCUUCUUCUAAAACUGCAUCGUGCUAUUGAUCGCUUAAACUCACCAUUGGGGGAGUUGGUUAAGGCCGGUAGUUAGGUUAUUAUUGAACCUUAUUUGUAGUAAGAUCCUCGGAUCUUACUACAAAUAAGGGGAAAACCUCUAUGGUAAAGUAAAAGGAAGAAAAGGCGGAUAUGAGUAGAUCGGUAAAUCUCUGCCCCGUCUUGAAACCACGGACCAAGGAGCCUAACGUGUAUGCAAGUCCUAGAUUUGAAAAACUAAGUGCGUAACGACAGCCAAUAGAUACUAUUCCUAUACAAGUUUAGUAUGGUUACGAUGUUAUAUUCUUUGUGGAGUUGAUAGCAAGUCAGUAAACAAUGCGAUUCGUACGAGUCGUAUUAGAGCAUAUACGGUAGUACCCGGAAAGAUGUGAUCUAUGCUUGAGCAGUGAAGCCAAAGGAAACUUGGUGGAGGCCGGCAGCAGUUUUGACGUGCAAAUCGAUUGUCAGACUUGGAGUAUAGCGGCGAAAGACUAUCGAACAUCUAGUAAGGCUGGUUUCCUCCGAAAUUUCCCGCAGGAUAGCAAGCGUAUCUAGGAAAAAAAACGUAAUCAUUUAAACCUGUUACAGUCUCAAUAGAAGGUAAUGGGGCCGUUAAUUGACCUCGUCUUUUCUUAAACUCGGUCAAUGGGUUUUCGAUGUUACACACUAAUCGUAUGGUAAACUAAUCAAACGUAAUGAUUUACGUUAGUGGGCCAAUUUUUGGGUUGUAAAGCAGAAUUGGCGAUGCGGGAUGAACCGUACACAGGAGUAAGGGCCUAAGUUUGAUACGCUAAUCAGAUCCCACUAAAGAUGUUGUUCGUUAAGACAGUAGGGAGGUGGCCAUGGAAGUCGGCCAUCCGCUAAGGUUGGAACAAACUCACCUCCGAAGCGUUCAACUCUGAAAUGAGUGGCGCCAAAGCGUUACACUGAACUCGGUGUAGUAGUAAAUCCGUAAGGAAUUAUUCUUUUCCGCCAAAGAAAGAAUACUAUUAGAUUCUAGAGACGGAGAGAUGUGGGGAUAGCGUUGAAGCUUGGUGUAAAACUCGAGUGGAGCUUUCACUAUACAGAUCUUGGUGGUAGUAGCAAAACAAAACAAGUGACAACCUGUUGACCGACGUGGAUACGGGUUCCAUGGGAACAGUAAUUGAGCCAUGGUUAGUCGAUCCUGAAGAGUGACGUGAAAAAGUUUUAGUAAGAAGCAAUCCUCGUCGAUGCACUAUGAACAGGAAUAAGAUUAAUAUUUCUUAACCUUGUUCGUUCUUCAUUAGAAGCGGUAACGCAAUCGAAACUCAGAGAAAUCGUCAAAGUCAUGGGUAGAGAUAUUCUUCUCUACUUUAAGGUGUGCUAAGUGCCUUGAAUCAGUUUAGCUGGAGACAGGCAGGAUGCACCGAAUAGGCAUUGGCUUCUCGUAAUGUACAAUUCAUAGAACAGUGUACUUUGAUGUCCUUGAAAUCGGGGGGCAGUAUUUGUAAGGCAAGGCAAGAUAGUACCUAGAUCCGCCACAGGUAUCCUAGGUGAACAGCCUCUGGUCUAUUAGAAGAAUGUAGGUUAAGGGAAGUCGGCAAACUUGAUCUGCUUAUCUUUGUACAAAGGUUGGCUCUGGCGUGUUUGCAGGUGCUUUAGUUAGUACAUGGAGAAGUUUAACUUGAACUGGUAGAUUGAGCAAUCGAUCGGAUGGCGCUUUGUUGUACAGCUCUAAUAGACACUUUUGUGUGGCUGGCAAUUAAAAAAAUAGUCAGAACUAUCAUUGACUGUUCGGAAUCUGACUGUUUAAUUAAACAUCGCAUUGAGAUGACCGGUGACCCGGGUGUUGACUCAAUGUGAAUUAUGCCCAGUGGCUCGAAUGUCAAACGUGUUUGUAGGAAAAUUCAAUGAAAGCGCGGGUAAAAGGCGGGCGAACAUGACUAUAUUAAGGUAGCCAAAUGCCUCGUCAUCUAAUUAGGACGUGCAUGAAUGGAUUAACGAGAUUCCAUCUGUCCUACUUACUAUAUAGCGAGAAAACCACAGCCAAGGAACGGGCUUGGCGAGAUAAGCGGGGAAAGAAGACCCUGUUGAGCUUGGACUCUAGUUGGCAUAGUGAAGGAAACUGAUCUGGUAUAGCAUAGGAGGAGGCAUAAGCUUGCUUGUCGUUAUCAACUGUAAAACCUCCACAGUACAGCACCACUCACUGACUUAGUUAUGAGGCUACUUUAGAGCGUCUUUGUUGAUGGGCUAAAGGAAACUAAUAACUGUAAAUAAAGUCGGAUGUUGGCUACUUUCACGAGUAGUUGACGCUAAUUACCGUCGAGGCAUUAUCUAAGGACAGUGCCAGGCGGGGAGUUGACUGGGGCGGCUAAAUCUAUCAAAUGGCUUAACGUAGGUGGGCCCUAAUGGUAGCUCGUGAGACCAGAAAUCUCACGUAGAAUAUAAGGGUACAAGCUGGCUUGAUUCUGAAUAUCAGUAUGUGCGAGAAAAGAAAUUGUGGCCUAACGAUCCUUUUGAAAAGCGAAAUACUAUCAAUGCAUAAUACAAGAGGGUGCAGAAAAGUUACCACAGGGAGAUAAACGGCUGGUGGCGGCCAAGCGUCAUAGCGACGCCGCUUUUGAUCCUUCGAUGUCGGCUCUUCCUAUCAUUGUGAAGCAAUUCGCAAAAGUGUAGAAUUGUUCACUCCUAACAGGGAACGUGUGAGCGGGGUUUAGACCGUCGUGAGACAGGUUGCAGGUUAGUUUUACCCCUACUGAUUUUAAUGCGUCUUCGCGACAGAAUUCUUGCGUAGUACGAGAGGAACGGCGAGUACAGAGCAAUGGUGGAGCACUUGAUCGAUCGGUCAAGGUGCGAAGCUAAACUCUGUAGGCCUAAUGACUGAAGCCUCUAAGUCAGAAGCCUGUUGGUCAUUGCGAGGAUAUCAAUCCACGUGGUUGAUGUGUUUAUUUGAUUUGCAAAUACGGGUUGUGUAACCUAGUGUUAGUAGAUUCGUCUAUUAACACUCCCCGGGUGUACUAUUUAAACGUAGCACAUA
rnacentral:rRNA from 1 species